GACGAACGCUGGCGGCGGGCUUAACACAUGCAAGUCGAACGGAAGGGCCCUGCUUUUGUGGGGUGCUCGAGUGGCGAACGGGUGAGUAACACGGGAGUAACCUGCCCUUGACUUGGGGAUAACUUCAGGAGACUGGGGCUAAUACCGGAUAGGAGCUGCUGCUGCAUGGGGGUGGUUGGAAAGUUUCGGCGGAGGGGGAUGGACUCGGGGCUUAUCAGCUUGUUGGUGGGGUAGUGGCUUACCAAGGCUUUGACGGGUAGCCGGCAUGAGAGGGUGACCGGGCACAUUGGGACUGAGAUACGGACCAGACUCCUACGGGAGGCAGCAGUGGGGAAUAUUGCACAAUGGGCGGAAGUCUGAUGCAGCAACGCCGCGUGCGGGAUGACGGCCUUCGGGUUGUAAACCGCUUUCGCCUGUGACGAAGCGUGAGUGACGGUAAUGGGUAAAGAAGCACCGGCUAACUACGUG
rnacentral:rRNA from 1 species